rnacentral:lncRNA from 1 species
CACUAGCUUGCCCAGAGUUACUCAGCUAAUAAGCAGCUGAGCUGGGACUCCCACUCAGCAAUGCAGCUCCAGGCCUGGCUGCUAACCCCUUCUUCCUUCUUGGCAGCUGCCUUCACAGAGGAAUUCAAGAGCCACAGAAGUGAAAACAGCCACCGUCAAAAAGAGCAGCAGUUGAAGGGCAAGUGUCUGCCAGCACUAUCUCUUGGGAAUGGAGAGAAAGAGCUGCCAAAACAGGAGAUACGUCUGACAUCCAGACAGCGUUAGCCGACUGGUUCCCAAGUAGGAGUUGGCUGUCCACAGAGAUGCCCUGUGUAGGUGAUAUGAAUCACAAAUACGCUCUGCCUUGAUUAAUCUCUAACAGUCAGAAAGUCGAAAGCUUCUUGUCAUCAUGUUCAAGCUUAGGAGUUUGGUUUUCCGUGGGCAGCUGGCUCUAGGAGGAUAUCACACGACUGUCUCAGGGUCCCCGAGGGAUGUUGUAAAAGCUGUCUGUAUGUGGGUCCCUGAAUUUGAGGUCGUGGGUGUGGAAGGUGAUGCACCAGGGAGUUGGCUCUUAGCUUACUGGGUCAGAUGUUUCUGAGAACCUUCUUCACCAGAGUUUACAGUUCAGUUUCAGAGGUGAAUGAGCCGUUUCAGAUGAUCAAAAAGAUAUGCUCUCUCAUAUCUCCCAGAGAAUAAUCUUUCCUUCCUCAGUUACUUUGAAACUGAAGUUUGCUGCCAGCGUAGGAGCCAAUCCAUUAUAUCAUAAUCAAUGACAUGAAUGUUUUGCUCAAGUUCAG